rnacentral:rRNA from 1 species
AUUGAACGCUGGCGGCAGGCCUAACACAUGCAAGUCGAACGAGUGGCGGACGGGUGAGUUAUGUGUGGGAAACUGCCUGAUGGCGGGGGAUAACUACUGGAAACUGUAGCUAAUACCGCAUACCAUCCGAUGUUCCCAGAUGGGAUUAGCUUUUUGGUGGGGUAACGGCUCACCAAGGCGACGAUCCCUAGCUGGUCUGAGAGGAUGACCAGCCACACUGGAACUGAGACACGGUCCAGACUCCUACGGGAGGCAGCAGUGGGGAAUAUUGCACAAUGGGCGCAAGCCUGAUGCAGCCAUGCCGCGUGUAUGAAGAAGGCCUUCGGGUUGUAAAGUACUUUCAGCGGGGAGGCGUUACCCUCAGAAGAAGCACCGGCUAACUCCGUGCCAGCAGCCGCGGUAAUUC